rnacentral:rRNA from 1 species
UUAAAUCACCCAGAAUACACCUGAUCCUGCCAGAUCUCGGAAGAUAAGCUGAUUUGCGCCUGGAUAGUGCUUGGAUGGGUGGCCACCAUGCAUAGAACAGGGGA